rnacentral:lncRNA from 1 species
GAUCAUUUUUGUGCCAGUAGUUGGAUGAUGCCUUUUCAUUUGGAGGCUCCCUCACUGAAUAUGAUUUGGGAUUCCUGAAAGUUCUUCCCAGCCCACUGUAAUCUGAGCCAUGUGUCCUCUUAGUAAACCCCUUUCUGUUCAAACUAGCUGGAGCAUAUUCUGCAGUUUGUCACUGAGAACCUUGACCAGUACCAUGCAAAGCACAUGUUUCUAGGGAAACCAACCUUGGACUUUGCCAACUUGUCGACAGGCUUUGUGAUCCAAAAAAGGCUUCACAUCUCUGGCUCAAAGGAUGGGAAAUGGAGGAAGAGCCUGAAAGGGAACAGUAAGAUCUAUGAGGGAGGCGCUGGCCAGGCCAUUCUGAGAAGAGUUGUUAUUUGUGAUCCAGGACUCAGGAUGGGAGCAGGGUACAGCUGGAGAGGUUUGAAGAAGUGUGUCAAAGAGAAGCAAAGAAAAAUCAAGAACUCUUCCCAAGAGACACAAGAUCUGAGUCUGAGGAGAAGCAGGAAGCUAGCCCCAAAACCAGAGCAUGAACCCAGCAAGUCAGGCUCAAAAGAAGCCAAGACUGAAACCUGGAUUUGCUGAGAUUGGACUAGACUUUUGAUGUAGCAUGAAUUGCCUCAAGGUAUCUGCAUUCUUUAAACAGAAUAAGACGUGCAGAAAUGACUCAUCACUGCAGUCAAAACUUUCUUCUGGGGAUUUAACCUACUUUUCUAUUUCAAAACUUGUGGAGAUGGAACCCAGUGCUUCUUCACCCCUGUCUUGUCUCCAAGAAAUAACCCGGUGGCACUUUAGUAAUAUAUUACUAUACUACGAAGUCGUCUCCAAGACUGUUUGCAAAAGCUGACUGUGCAUAUAAUGAACCAGAACUUGAUCAUUGAAAUGGAAAUCAUCACACCUGCUUCCCAGGAUGCUUGGGAGGACUGGAAGAGAGGCAGCACUUACAAGCUUUAUAGAACUCCAGCAUGCCAUGCAAGCAGGUGUACCAAAGUUGUGGAGAGUGGUCUCCACUCUUAAAUUAUCAUUCCUACUAAAUUAGCUUGUAAUUUAAAAUAUGCAAGAACAAGUAAGAGACAUUUUAAAAAGAGUCUUGUACUGAAAUUGCUAUUGUUUGAAAAUACCCAUCUUCCUCAGAGGGAUGAGCACAAUCUUUCACUUAAGAAAAUAAGUCAUAAAUUUCUUUAUGAAUCCAUUUAAACAGCUCAGAGUAAGAAUGAAAAGCAACUGGCCAGCAAAGUGAGGCCCUUGAUCGACGCAAGCAAUAACAAGACGAGGGGCAGUUAAGCCAAUGGAAUCAGGAUGAUAUUAAAAGCAAUUUCCAUGCUAGGCAUGGUAGCACACACCUGUAAUUCCAGCACUCUGGGAGGCUGAGGCAGGAGGCUGGAAAGCUCAAGCCCAACCUGGGCAACUUAGUGACUUAGUGAGACCCUGUCUCAAAAUUUACAAAGGGAGAGGGGCUGGCUAUCUAGCUCACUGGUAGAGCAUCUCUGGGUUCCAUCCUUAGCACCAGAAAAAAAGAAAGAAAUUACUACAGUAUCUCCUCAACAACAAGGAAUGUGUUCUAAGAC